ACCCUCUUCGUCUAGUGGUUAGGACAUCACUUUUUCACGGUGUAAACACGAGUUCAAACCUCGUAGAGGGUA
rnacentral:tRNA from 1 species